GGAGCAUUGGGUGUUGUACCGAGCGACGUGGCUCAGCGGGAAAUGGUGGUGGUAGGUGGGUGGUUGGACUGGAUGAUCUUGGAGAUCUUUUCCAGCCUUGCUAAUUCUACGGUUCUAUGAAAGGCAUGUGCUGGGCGAGUGCUUUGCUGGGUGAGCAGGCAGCUGUUGCCACAUCCACAGGGAUGGGAGGCUUUUUAACCUGAGCCUUGUCUUUGGUGUCUGGUGCCCAGUAAGUCGUGUUGUUUUAAAGCAGCGUCUCGAUUUCUGCAGCCACCAGAGCUCUCCCUCAUGCUCUUCCCUGUGACGUGAGACCGCGUUGAAGGCCUUGCAGACGUCUGGUCGUAACCAUGGAAGUGUUACCCAGGCAAAAGGAGCAUUUGUCACCUGGGCUUUCUACAAGUGACAGAGACAGCGGAAGUCAGCAUCCGAAACAGCCGCGAGAGCCCUGCAAAAGAAUGGAGAGCUAGACUUCAGCUCCUUCCUGUUUCCUGCCCAUGCGCUCCCUGCUUUGCCCGUGGCCCGGUGAGGUUUUGUUCCUCGCACCCAGCUUGGCACGUGUGGAUAAGGGCCUCUGUUUACGCACGUUCAUUUUCUGCUGGUGGUGUCAGGCUGAGUGACGGCUCACAGCUGAGCUGGUGGUUAGCGAGACGCACGAUGAUAGCUGCAGGUACAGUUCUCUGUGUCACUGACGCACGAGCUCUGUGGCGGCCACGAGCCACAGAAACAGGGAGUUUGUGUUUCAUUUCUGCGUUUGCUGGCAUUGCCCCGCGGCCCUGUUGUGGUUGAAGCCGGCGGGUGGCUCAGCACCGCACAGUCCUUCGCUCACUGCCCUCU